UUUUAAAAUCAACGGAUUUUCCUCUUACUAUAAAUUUCAUUGUUGCCGGUAAUGACAUGUAGAAUAGGAC
rnacentral:tRNA from 1 species